GGAGUUACCGCAUUCGAGUAAGAGUGGGACGUUGCUGCACCUUGUGAACGAAAAGAUGUUUCCCUUCUGAGAUGACUAUUUUUCUUCAGUGCCUUCUUGGAUCCUAGAAGGGGCAAAAAUGACUAGUUUCUGGGGCAUCAUGUGGCAUCUCAAUUCCCCAACUGAGGAUUGAACCUGCACCCCCUGUAGUGGGGGCACAGAGUCUUAACCACUGGACUGCCAGGGAAGUCCCUGUAUAUUCUUCAAGGCACAGGCUCCGGCAGGCUCAGCGGCCAUGGCUCACGGGCCCAGCCGCUCCGCAGCACGUGGGAUCUUCCUGGACUGGGGCAUGAACCCGUGUCCCCUGCAUCGGCAGGCGGACUCUCAACCACUGCGCCAUCAGGGAAGCCCUCUCUUUUUUUUACAUUUUUACUUUUUUUAACAUUUUCUUUGCCACCCUGUGCGACAUGUGAGAUCUUAGUUCCCCAACCGGGGAUUGAACCCCGUGCCCUUUGCAUUGCAAGUGCGGAAUCUUCACCACUGGACCACCAGGGAAGUCCCAAGAUGUAUCUAAUUAUUUCUUAACAGAGUCUUGUCAAUCUACUCUAUGCCCCAGAAAAUAAAAC